rnacentral:rRNA from 1 species
CAGGAUGAACGCUAGCGACAGGCUUAACACAUGCAAGUCGAGGGGCAGCAUAAAAGUAGCAAUACUUUGGUGGCGACCGGCGCACGGGUGAGUAACGCGUAUGCAACCUACCUAUCAGAGGGGAAUAACCCGGCGAAAGUCGGACUAAUACCGCAUAAAACAGGGACACCGCAUGGUGAUAUUUGUUAAAGAAAUUCGCUGAUAGAUGGGCAUGCGUUCCAUUAGGUAGUUGGUGAGGUAACGGCUCACCAAGCCGACGAUGGAUAGGGGAACUGAGAGGUUGGUCCCCCACACUGGUACUGAGACACGGACCAGACUCCUACGGGAGGCAGCAGUGAGGAAUAUUGGUCAAUGGGCGAGAGCCUGAACCAGCCAAGUCGCGUGAAGGAAGAAGGAUCUAUGGUUCGUAAACUUCUUUUGCAGGGGAAUAAAGUGCAGGACGUGUCCUGUUUUGUAUGUACCCUGAGAAUAAGGAUCGGCUAACUCCGUGCCAGCCGCCGC